GACGAACGCUGGCGGCGUGCUUAACACAUGCAAGUCGAACGGAAAGGCCCUGCUUUUGUGGGGUGCUCGAGUGGCGAACGGGUGAGUAACACGUGAGUAACCUGCCCUUGACUUUGGGAUAACUUCAGGAAACUGGGGCUAAUACCGGAUAGGAGCUCCUGCUGCAUGGUGGGGGUUGGAAAGUUUCGGCGGUUGGGGAUGGACUCGCGGCUUAUCAGCUUGUUGGUGGGGUAGUGGCUUACCAAGGCUUUGACGGGUAGCCGGCCUGAGAGGGUGACCGGCCACAUUGGGACUGAGAUACGGCCCAGACUCCUACGGGAGGCAGCAGUGGGGAAUAUUGCACAAUGGGCGGAAGCCUGAUGCAGCAACGCCGCGUGCGGGAUGACGGCCUUCGGGUUGUAAACCGCUUUCGCCUGUGACGAAGCGUGAGUGACGGUAAUGGGUAAAGAAGCACCGGCUAACUACGUGCCAGCAGCCGCGGUGAUACGUAGGGUGCGAGCGUUGUCCGGAUUUAUUGGGCGUAAAGGGCUCGUAGGUGGUUGAUCGCGUCGGAAGUGUAAUCUUGGGGCUUAACCCUGAGCGUGCUUUCGAUACGGGUUGACUUGAGGAAGGUAGGGGAGAAUGGAAUUCCUGGUGGAGCGGUGGAAUGCGCAGAUAUCAGGAGGAACACCAGUGGCGAAGGCGGUUCUCUGGGCCUUUCCUGACGCUGAGGAGCGAAAGCGUGGGGAGCGAACAGGCUUAGAUACCCUGGUAGUCCACGCUGUAAACGGUGGGUACUAGGUGUGGGGUCCAUUCCACGGGUUCCGUGCCGUAGCUAACGCUUUAAGUACCCCGCCUGGGGAGUACGGCCGCAAGGCUAAAACUCAAGGGAAUUGACGGGGCCCCGCACAAGCGGCGGAGCAUGCGGAUUAAUUCGAUGCAACGCGUAGAACCUUACCUGGGUUUGACAUGGAUCGGGAGUGCUCAGAGAUGGGUGUGCCUCUUUUGGGGUCGGUUCACAGGUGGUGCAUGGCUGUCGUCAGCUCGUGUCGUGAGAUGUUGGGUUAAGUCCCGCAACGAGCGCAACCCUUGUUCACUGUUGCCAGCACGUUAUGGUGGGGACUCAGUGGAGACCGCCGGGGUCAACUCGGAGGAAGGUGGGGAUGACGUCAAGUCAUCAUGCCCCUUAUGUCCAGGGCUUCACGCAUGCUACAAUGGCUGGUACAGAGAGUGGCGAGCCUGCGAGGGUGAGCGAAUCUCGGAAAGCCGGUCUCAGUUCGGAUUGGGGUCUGCAACUCGACCUCAUGAAGUCGGAGUCGCUAGUAAUCGCAGAUCAGCAACGCUGCGGUGAAUACGUUCCCGGG
rnacentral:rRNA from 1 species